rnacentral:rRNA from 1 species
CCUACGGGUGGCAGCAGUGAGGAAUAUUGGUCAAUGGGCGCGAGCCUGAACCAGCCAAGUAGCGUGAAGGAUGACUGCCCUAUGGGUUGUAAACUUCUUUUAUAAAGGAAUAAAGUGAGGCACGUAUGCCUUUUUGCAUGUACCUUAUGAAUAAGGAUCGGCUAACUCCGUGCCAGCAGCCGCGGUAAUACGGAGGAUCCGAGCGUUAUCCGGAUUUAUUGGGUUUAAAGGGAGCGUAGGUGGGUUGUUAAGUCAGUUGUGAAAGUUUGCGGCUCAACCGUAAAAUUGCAGUUGAUACUGGCAGUCUUGAGUACAGUUGAGGUAGGCGGAAUGCGUGGUGUAGCGGUGAAAUGCUUAGAUAUCACGAAGAACUCCGAUUGCGAAGGCAGCUUACUAAACUGCCACUGACGCUGAUGCUCGAAAGUGUGGGUAUCAAACAGGAUUAGAUACCCGGGUAGUC